CCUACGGGUGGCAGCAGUGGGGAAUAUUGCGCAAUGGGCGAAAGCCUGACGCAGCGACGCCGCGUGAGGGAUGAAGGUCUUCGGAUCGUAAACCUCUGUCAGCAGGGAAGAACGGUCACUGUGCUAAUCAUCAGUGAAUUGACGGUACCUGCAAAGGAAGCACCGGCUAACUCCGUGCCAGCAGCCGCGGUAAUACGGAGGGUGCGAGCGUUAAUCGGAAUUACUGGGCGUAAAGCGCUCGUAGGCGGUAUGUCAAGUCAAGGGUGAAAUCCCCGCGCUCAACGUGGGAACUGCCUUUGAAACUGGCAAACUGGAGUGUGUGAGAGGAUAGUGGAAUUCCAGGUGUAGGAGUGAAAUGCGUAGAUAUCUGGAGGAACAUCAGUGGCGAAGGCGACUAUCUGGCACAUAACUGACGCUGAGGAGCGAAAGCGUGGGUAGCAAACAGGAUUAGAUACCCGAGUAGUC
rnacentral:rRNA from 1 species